GGCGGCAGGCUUAACACAUGCAAGUCGAACGCCCCGCAAGGGGAGUGGCAGACGGGUGAGUAACGCGUGGGAAUCUACCGUGCCCUGCGGAAUAGCUCCGGGAAACUGGAAUUAAUACCGCAUACGCCCUACGGGGGAAAGAUUUAUCGGGGUAUGAUGAGCCCGCGUUGGAUUAGCUAGUUGGUGGGGUAAAGGCCUACCAAGGCGACGAUCCAUAGCUGGUCUGAGAGGAUGAUCAGCCACAUUGGGACUGAGACACGGCCCAAACUCCUACGGGAGGCAGCAGUGGGGAAUAUUGGACAAUGGGCGCAAGCCUGAUCCAACCAUGCCGCGUGAGUGAUGAAGGCCUUAGGGUUGUAAAGCUCUUUCACCGGAGAAGAUAAUGACGGUAUCCGGAGA
rnacentral:rRNA from 1 species